UACGGGAUAAUAUAUUUGAGAGGCAUCUCUUGAAUAUCAAAGGUGCGCCAGUACAGGAGGGACCCGCGUCGGAUUAGCGAGUGGGGAAGGUAACGGCUUACCAAGGCGACGAUCAGGAGCCGACCUGGGAUGGUGAUCGGCCACAUUGGAACUGAGACACGGUCCAAACUCCUACGGGAGGCAGCAGUGGGGAAUAGUGCACAAUGGGCGAAAGCUUGAUGCAGCAACGCCGCGUGAGUGAUGAAGGCCUUUGGGUCGUAAAAAUCUGUCCUCAAGGAAGA
rnacentral:rRNA from 1 species